GCGAAAUAUGCCCAUUGUCACUACCUGUUAGUAAAGUAAUCAAGGAACAUUUAGAUAGAUAAAUGGAAAAUUUGUUUACAUACUGUUCUGUACCAAUGUAACUAUGACCUCUGCUUAUUAAGGAAUUUCUUUUGAAAAUUACACAUUCACUACUCCAUAUUAUCAACUAAGAAUUUUUUAGUACCCUUGUAAAGCUAAAUGUUCUUUUUCAAUUCAUACACUUUUGUACCUGAUGUCAAUUUAUUUUUCUUUUGUAUCUGAAUACUUUCAAUUCUUUUGCUCAUAUGUAUGUUUACUGUACAGUGCAGUACAAUUCAUGUGUAUGUCUUCAAUUUUUUUGUUUCAUUCUACACAUGUAUCUAGCCUAAGUUCAUGUCUCCCUUUGUUUCAAUUUAAAAUCUAAACUAGAUGCUCUGUAAUAUGAUUUUUAUUUUGUUUCCAUUUUAAUAUCUUUUUUUUCGUGAUGUAUGCUACAACCUGUUAAUGCUUUUUUUUUUUUCAAUAAGUACAAAUUUUAUUUAAUUAUUUUUGAAAUUUCUAUGUGCAACAAUUUAUGAUUCUUUCAAUAAAACAAUGUUUUGUCAGCUGUUUCCUUUAUGCUUUAUAUGUAACCUGGGAAAAAUACUACAUGUAAUUUAAGUGUAUACUGUAUCAAAAGAUAUUUCAUU